UGGGGCUUGAACUCACAGCCCCAAGAUCAAGAGUCAAAUGCUCUUCCCACUGAGCCAGCUGGGUACCUCCAGCCUUCUCCUUUAACUGCUGUCACACUUCCCACCAUCACCGCUCUCAGAGUAAAGAGGAGCCUCCUGGACUUGGCUGCUUCAUCACACUAUCAAUCACUGCUUGGAGAAGAGAAGUACCUUCUGUAGGCUGCUGGGGGCCCAGCAGUUCCAGUACUUCCCCUAUCAUGUUUCAGUGCCUGCUGUGACAACAGCAUCUUUUCCCUGAGCGCUAAGCUAAACACACGGAGGAACAUCAGACCCACGGAAGCUCUGUGACCAGCAUUCAGUGCCUCCUUCCCAGAACUGCAGAGGAAUCCGUCUACCCUGGGUGUAGGGGGAAAAAGAGAAGAGCUUCAGGCCGCAGACAGCGGACAAGAGGGGGAGGAAAUGGGAGUCAGGGCUAUGGGGGGUGAACAGCACAUACAGCUGGCCAGUUGCUGGGAACUGUUGGCUCAGGACACGGCAUCCCCACUUAACCGGAAUUCUGGGAUCCACUCCAGAGAAUUGCUGGUCUUCUGGACCAGUACAGCCAUAGUCAAGAAGGCAAGGCAGG